UUAUAAAACUAGAUUUUAACCUGCGGUAUACCGCGGAAACAAUUUAUUUUUUAAAGUUAGUAUAUAUAAAAGUUUACAAAUUGUAUCUAUCUAUAAAAUAAUUUUAUUUUAUAGUUUACAAAUGUUAUUAAAUAACGUCCUGCUAAACCCGUCCUGUAAAAAAAAAACCAUUUAUUUUAUUAAUGUUGAUCUUAUUUAUGAUAUGCUUAUGAAUCAUUGUCUAAAUAUUUUGUAAUUUUGUAGUAAUUAAAUGCUAUCAGAUUAUAUCUCUGCGCUUUGAUGAUUAUAAUCGAAUUGUUAUAGUUAUGGAGAAAAUCAAUAUCAAAAAUGAUA
rnacentral:sRNA from 1 species